rnacentral:lncRNA from 1 species
AUAUUCAGGGUGUAGGGAGAUCGUAGGAUCCAAUUGCACGGUAACUUUCCGCUGAAGGAUAUCUUUGAUAUUGUUAUCAAAAUUUUAUAUUUUUUAGAUAGACAUGAUAUAUUUCUAGAUGUCAAUCUUGUCUUGUGAGUUUGAUUGAAUAAAAGAGUUUAAUUCAAUCAUCAAUUAGAAAGAGUUCUAAUUGCUGAAAUCGGAUUAGCUCGAUUGGAUCU